CCUCCUCCAGGGUUGUGGCCACGCGCAGCGGCGGCGGUUGUUCCGCUUCCCCUCCGGCCCGGGCCGUCGCCAUUGCCGAAGGCACCCUCCCCUCCCCUCCCUGGCGGCCGCAGGGCUCCGCCGCCGCCGCCGGGCCUAGCGGUAGCAGCGGCUGCUCCAGCGCGGCGUCUCUUCCCGCCCCGCUUCCCCUUCCCUCCCCUCCCCUUCCCGCGCCGCGCGCUGGCCCGGGGCGGCUCCGCAGCCCGCCGGGAGCUCUGACGGAGGCGCCUCGCUGGGGCGGGGACCUUCCCUCGCCUGGGGUUCAGGCCAUUUGGUAAUUCUGAACCAUGUCUGAUAACGGAGAACUGGAAGACAAGCCCCCAGCACCUCCUGUGCGAAUGAGCAGCACCAUCUUUAGCACUGGAGGCAAAGACCCCUUGUCAGCCAAUCACAGUUUGAAACCUUUGCCCUCUGUUCCGGAGGAGAAGAAGCCCAGGCACAAAAUCAUCUCCAUAUUCUCAGGCACAGAGAAAGGAAGUAAAAAGAAAGAAAAGGAACGGCCAGAAAUUUCUCCUCCAUCUGAUUUUGAACACACCAUCCAUGUUGGCUUUGAUGCUGUUACUGGAGAAUUCACUGGCAUGCCAGAACAGUGGGCUCGAUUACUACAGACCUCCAACAUCACCAAACUAGAGCAAAAGAAGAAUCCUCAGGCUGUGCUGGAUGUCCUCAAGUUCUACGACUCCAACACAGUGAAGCAGAAGUAUCUGAGCUUUACUCCUCCGGAGAAAGAUGGCUUCCCUUCUGGAACACCAGCACUGAACGCCAAGGGAACAGAAACACCCGCAGUAGUGACAGAGGAAGAUGAUGAUGAUGAAGAGACUGCUCCUCCUGUUAUUGCCCCACGACCAGAUCAUACGAAAUCAAUUUACACACGGUCUGUAAUUGACCCCGUUCCUGCACCAGUUGGUGAUUCAAGUGUUGAUGGUGGUGCCAAGUCUUCAGACAAACAGAAAAAGAAGACUAAAAUGACAGAUGAAGAGAUUAUGGAGAAAUUAAGAACUAUUGUGAGCAUAGGUGACCCUAAGAAAAAAUAUACAAGAUAUGAAAAAAUUGGACAAGGGGCUUCUGGUACAGUUUUCACUGCUACUGACGUUGCAUUGGGACAGGAGGUUGCUAUCAAACAGAUUAAUUUACAGAAACAGCCAAAGAAGGAAUUGAUCAUUAAUGAGAUUCUGGUGAUGAAAGAAUUAAAAAAUCCCAACAUAGUUAACUUCUUGGACAGUUACCUGGUAGGAGAUGAAUUGUUUGUGGUCAUGGAAUACCUUGCUGGUGGAUCGCUCACUGAUGUGGUAACAGAAACCUGCAUGGAUGAAGCACAGAUUGCUGCUGUAUGCAGAGAGUGUUUGCAGGCGUUGGAGUUUUUACAUGCUAAUCAAGUGAUCCACAGAGACAUCAAAAGCGACAAUGUCCUUUUGGGAAUGGAAGGAUCGGUUAAGCUCACUGACUUUGGUUUCUGUGCCCAGAUCACCCCCGAGCAGAGCAAACGCAGUACCAUGGUCGGAACCCCAUACUGGAUGGCACCAGAGGUGGUUACACGGAAAGCUUAUGGCCCCAAAGUCGACAUAUGGUCUCUGGGUAUCAUGGCUAUUGAGAUGGUAGAAGGAGAGCCUCCAUACCUCAAUGAAAAUCCCUUGAGGGCCUUGUACCUAAUAGCAACUAAUGGAACCCCAGAGCUUCAGAAUCCAGAGAAACUUUCCCCAAUAUUUCGAGAUUUCUUAAAUCGAUGUUUGGAAAUGGAUGUGGAAAAAAGGGGUUCAGCCAAAGAAUUAUUACAGCAUCCUUUCUUGAAACUGGCCAAACCAUUAUCUAGCUUGACACCACUGAUCAUGGCAGCUAAAGAAGCGAUGAAGAGUAACCGUUAACAUCACUGCUGUGGCCUCAUAUUCUUUUUUCCAUUUUCUACAAGAAGCCUUUUAGUAUAUGAAAAUUAUUACUCUUUUUGGGGUUUAAAGAAAUGGUCUGCAUAACCUGAAUGAAAGAAGCAAGUGACUAUUCUCUGAAGACAACCAAGAGAAAAUUGCAAAAAGAAAACUAUUACUGAAUUACAGAAACUGGUUUACUUCUGGCAGAAAGCUGCAGUGCCACCUGAGUUCCACAUUUUAACUUUCUGUGUAAACAGCUGGAUGGAUUGUGAUAAAGAAGAUGCUACCAAUGAAAUAGAAAACCACCUAGAUGAGAAGACUGUGAUCCUCGUGCCCUCAGAGGCACUUCCCUCCUAAGUCAAAGACCAUCCUCAUUGACUGUGUGCCAAUGCCUCGUUUCAGGCUUGUGACUCAACAAAGGGCUUUUCCAUUGAUAGAAGCAGUUUGGGAUUUGUAGUUACAGCUUCUUCGAUAGUUACCUGCACGUCCAUUGCUGGCAACUGACUUCAGUCAUUAAAACCUGGCUCUUUGGUUAAGGGAGCUACACUGUGGUUUAUUCUUAAGUUACGUGGAUAAACUAACCUCUAACAGAAAUAUACUUUGGUUAAUUUUGAAAUGUGUCAUUUUUAAACAAAAUCUUAAAAGCAAUACAGAAUUGUGAUUAAUUUUAAAUUAAAACAUUCAGAACUUGUUGAAAGAAAAAUUAUAUCUGAAUCAAGAUUCAUGAUUUUUAUUUUUUAUUUUUAUUUUUAUUUUUUGAUACAGUCUCACUCUGUCACCCAGGCUGGAGUGCAGUGGUGUGAUCUCAGCUCACUGCAACCUCCGCUUCCUGGGUUCAAGCAAUUCUCGUGCCUCAGCCUCCUGAGUAGCUGAGACCACAGGUGCACGCCACCACACCCAGCUAAUUUUUUGUAUUUUUAGUAGAGACAGAGUCUCACCAUGUUGUCCAGGCUGAUCUCCAACUCCUCAGCUCAGGCAGUCUGCCCACCUUGACCUCCCAAAGUGCUGCAAUUACAAGCGUGAGCCACUGCGCCUGGCCUCAUGUUUUUUAAAUAAUUGCCUUUUAUAUCCCCCCUUUUUGUCAUCACUUUAGAAUGAAAAUUCUCAUUUAAAUCUAAAAGUUACCUUAAUAGUCCUCUUGUGUUAUUAGGACAGUAUUAUUAUAGUACUUAUUUAUUUUAUUUUAGACUUAAAGUUAUCUUCUCUUUUUCUUUUUUCUUCUGCUGCUUUUAGGGACAGUUAAAACUGGGAAACUAUGAAACAUGGAACAUUUUAUCCUACCUAGAAUAGUAAACGAGUAAUUGUGCAGCAUAAGACACCAAGGCUAAUACAACUCUAUCUUCAUGUAUUGAGUGCCUGGCACAUAGUAUUAAUUCUCUUCCCUUUAACAUAUAAAUGUUAAGCUGCUUACAGUCUAGUAACCACCAAUUGUAAAUGAGCCUGUGCCUUUAACAAGCAAUUUUAAACUACCUAUGAGUAUUUCUUUAUAGGGCUCCCUUAAAUACAUGUUUGUAUACACUGUAUUCUGGCCAGAAUAAUUUUAGAUCUGAUCAGGUAGUAGCUAAAAUUAAAAAAAAAAAAAAAAAAAAAAAAAAAGGUGCUUAAAGAAUUUGCAUCAAUUUUUGAGUCUAAAUCUUUUAAAAUAUACUGAGAUCCACAUCUAGUAAAAUGGCAGUGUCAAAAUAUUACAGAUUAUAGUUAAAAUCCAGAUUAAUACUCAUUUGGGGUUUUUUUAUAGUAGAACUUCAUUGUAAUACAAAAAGCAGAUUAUCUUCCUGUCUCCACUCCCCCAGUAGGUAUUGAAACUGGUAAAAUCAGUUUUUUGAUAGUGUUGUGUAUAUAAGAAAAAAUAUAUACACGCCUUCUUUUUUCUCCCCCAACACAUUGAUUGAACACUCUGGCAAAGAUGCUGUGGUGGGUGAGGUUGGAGUUAGAAAGAAGCAGGCACUGGCUGCCUUUGAAGGAAUGGAAGUCUCUCCCAUUCACUCCUCUAGAGUGCUGCCGAGAGAGGCAGAAAGGAAUGGGUGAUGAUUCUGCCAAGCACACUUCUAUUCUUUAUUAAGAGAAACAGUUAUGUUUGGAAUUCAAUGUUGGAACACAUUGGCUUUUUUUCCCUUGUUUUGAUAGAAGUGGAAUUAAGUAAAAGUAGUUUGUCUUUUCUGUUGUCUUCAAAUUUUAUAAUGCCUUUUAUUUUUAAUUUAAUCCCGUUCAAUUAUUUAAUUGUUAUACAUUGACAUUAACUGCUGUAUUUUACGACUUUGUUCAAUAAUUUUGUUCUUUCAGGGCUAGAAAUAAACUUUUUAAAAAAA